CUUUCUCUAUGAUCUUUUGAGUCCCAAUAACCAUUUUUCUGCCGCCUUCAUCCUCUCAUCUUCCUUUUCAUCUUCUCCUCUUAUUUCGUUGUUUUUCUCUUUGCGGUCUUGUUGGUUUUCUUCUCCUUCUUUUUUUCUUCUCUCAUGUGGAUCUUUACAUAUUUCUCUUUCUAUCUAUUGUUGACCAAUGAUUGGCUAUUUGGAUGGAAAAAUAGUCUUUCCUAAUAAUUCAUGCGCUCAUUUCUUCCGCUAUUUCUGAUGCAAUAAUUUCCAUCUUAAAAGUUCACUAGCACUGACAAAGCUGUGAAUCUUCAAAGGGUCAACCUUCUGUGGUCGGGGUGACCAGAGAGCCAAAAACCAGUAGCUGAAAAUUGCAGAAGCUCAGUGUUCGCAUUUGCGAACUUGGCCACAUCACAAAAUUCAAGAAAGGGUCUCAUUUGCGACCUCUGCAGAAUGUUUAAAGCUCGCAAUUGCGAAUAGGGAGUCACAAAUGCGACCUCUGAGGCACCUAUACUGGGUUUUGCUUAACACUUGCUAAAAUAAUUGCAAGAAUCUUUUGAGGCCCUAAAAUUAAAUGACUGGUUUCUUCCUCACUCCCCCAACCUUGAAACUCCCUCAUUUUUACUCCUAAUUGCAAGCAUCAAGGUAUAAAGGCUUAAUCUUUGUGCUCUUUAUGUUCCAUAGCAUCAUCUUCUUCUUCUCCUCUCCUUUAUUGCUCAACAACUAGGUUUCAAUUUGAUUUUCCUUUUAUGUGCAAAAUUGUUUGAAAAACAACAUAAAUCAUGUGUUGAUUUCUGGGUGAGGUUGGUUGAGAGUGUGAACUUAUUCUUUGCUUGAAAAAUGGAGAAGUCUGAGUACCCAUGGCUUUGUGAAAAUAGAAGUGAUUUUGUGUGCUAUCUAUGUGUUCGAUGAAAGGCCCGAUUGAGAUUCUUGGCCGAAUCAUUGAAAUUUUUUUCAAUUCAUGGUUGUGUGUGAAGUCUAUUGCAUGAUUUUGUGCUUAAAAACUGAUUGGGUUAUCUAAAAGUGUGCUUUUGUUUGAAAAAUUUUGGGGCUUUGGACUGUUCUCUGAGUGAAGAUUGGUUGGGGACGAGGAGAUCGCAAUUGCGAUGACCUCUUCGUAUUUGCGAAGUGGUGGUCUCAAUUGUGAAACUCUCAGGCCUGGCAACUUUCGCAUUUGCGAAGAUGAGCUCGCAAUUGCGAGCAAUGACAAUUCCUGUUGCCUUCGCAAUUGCGAUCUCUUGGGUUUCCUGUUUCCUUCGCAAUUUCGAUAUCAGAGAGCUGUGCUUUACAUAUUUGAAAAUCUGAAUUUUUUUCUAAGGUUGUGUUUCGACUGUCCAAUCAUUUCUUGACCAUAUUUUAAUCAUUUUGCAAUAUUUUUCAUAGCCAUACCAUGUUUUCACUCCAAUCCUUUGUUUACAGGUAUCGUAACUCCGACGAAUCCGCGAAUGACAACCCUUUGGAAGAGGAGGAUGCGACUGAGUCCGACAACGAGGAGAGCACUUGAUGCAGUAUUCAGGGAGCACUUUUCACCAUUUUACUCUAUUUUGUUUAGUUGCAUUGGAGACAUUGCAACAUCUCUAGUUGGGGGUGACUUCUUGUAUAACUGUGGAUAUGGUAGAUUGGUAUUUUUGUUUGUUUUCAUAUGAUGUUAUUUUAU